rnacentral:rRNA from 1 species
GACGAACGCUGGCGGCGUGCUUAACACAUGCAAGUCGAACGGAAAGGCCUGCUUUCCCUUGUGGAUUGCGGGUACUCGAGUGGCGAACGGGUGAGUAACACGUGAGUGAUCUGCCCCCAACUUGGGUAUAAGCCUGGGAAACUGGGUCUAAUUCCCGAUAGGACUGCAGGGUGGUGCCUGUGGUGGAAAACGAUUUUCUAGUGGUUGGGGAUGAGCUCGCGGCCUAUCAGCUUGUUGGUGGGGUAAUGGCCUACCAAGGCGGCGACGGGUAGCCGGCCGGGGAGGGGGGACGGCCACAUUGGGACUGAGAUACGGCCCAGACUCCUACGGGAGGCAGCAGUGGGGAAUAUUGCACAAUGGGCGGAAGCCUGAUGCAGCGACGCCGCGUGGGGGAUGACGGCCUUCGGGUUGUAAACUCCUUUCGACCGCGAGGAAGCCACCUGGUUGGAAGGGUGGUGACGGUAGUGGUAGAAGAAGCACCGGCUAACUACGUG